UUCGGGUAGACAGGGAGACAGGUGGUGCAUGGUUGUCGUCAGCUCGUGUCGUGAGAUGUUGGGGUUAAAGUCCCGCAACGAGCGCAAACCCUUACGGUUAGUUGCCAGCGGGUUAUGCCGGGCACUCUAGCUGAACUGCCGUUGACAAAACGGAGGAAGGUGGGGAUGACGUCAAAUCAUCAUGCCCUUUAUGUCCUGGGCUACGCACGUGCUACAAUGGCCUGUACAGAGGGAAGCGAAAGGGUGACCUGGAGCGAAUCCCAAAAAGCAGGUCUCAGUUCGGAUUGCAGGCUGCAACCCGCCUGCAUGAAGUCGGAAUCGCUAGUAAUCGCGGAUCAGCAUGCCGCGGUGAAUACGUUCCCGGGCCUU
rnacentral:rRNA from 1 species